UACGAGGGGGGCAAAUGUUGUUCGGAAUCACUGGGCGUAAAGGGCGCGUAGGCGGCUUUGCAAGUGACGGGUGAAAGCCCUCGGCUUAACCGAGGAACUGCCUGUCAGACUGUGAGGCUUGAGACCGGGAGAGGUGAGUGGAAUUCCCAGUGUAGCGGUGAAAUGCGUAGAUAUUGGGAGGAACACCAGUGGCGAAGGCGGCUCACUGGACCGGAACUGACGCUGAGGCGCGAAAGCGUGGGGAGCAAACAGG
rnacentral:rRNA from 1 species